rnacentral:rRNA from 1 species
UGCGGAGGGAUCAUUGCUGGAACGCGCCCCAGGCGCACCCAGAAACCCUUUGUGAACUUAUACCUUACUGUUGCCUCGGCGCUAGCUGGUCCUUCGGGGCCCCUCACCCUCGGGUGUUGAGACAGCCCGCCGGCGGCCAACCCAACUCUUGUUUUUACACUGAAACUCUGAGAAUAAAACAUAAAUGAAUCAAAACUUUCAACAACGGAUCUCUUGGUUCUGGCAUCGAUGAAGAACGCAGCGAAAUGCGAUAAGUAAUGUGAAUUGCAGAAUUCAGUGAAUCAUCGAAUCUUUGAACGCACAUUGCGCCCUCUGGUAUUCCGGAGGGCAUGCCUGUUCGAGCGUCAUUUCAACCCUCAAGCCUGGCUUGGUGAUGGGGCACUGCCUGUAAAAGGGCAGGCCCUGAAAUUCAGUGGCGAGCUCGCCAGGACCCCGAGCGCAGUAGUUAAACCCUCGCUUUGGAAGGCCCUGGCGGUGCCCUGCCGUUAAACCCCCAACUUCUGAAAAUUUGACCUCGGAUCAG